rnacentral:tRNA from 1 species
GGGGCUAUAGCUCAGUGGUAGAGUUCUUACAUGGCAUGUAAGAGGUCAGCGGUUCAAAUCCGCUUAGCUCCA